rnacentral:piRNA from 1 species
UCCAUGUGGGUUAUCAAAAUU